rnacentral:pre_miRNA from 1 species
UUGUGACCGUUAUAAUGGGCAUCUCAGGACGCUAAGGUGCCAAAAAAUGCCUAUUCUAACGUUCAUAAUA